rnacentral:misc_RNA from 1 species
GAAAUGCGAUAAGUAAUGUGAAUUGCAGAAUUCCGUGAAUCAUCGAAUCUUUGAACACACAUUGCGCCCUCUGGUAUUCCGGGGGUAUGCCUGUCCGAGCGUCAUUGCGAACCCCUCAAGCACGGCUUGUGUGAUGGGCCCUCCCGCGUCUUGGUCGUCAAGACGGGCCCGAAAUGCAGUGGCGGCUUCGCGGUUAUCCGAUCAGCCAGAGCGUAUGGGGACUCUCUCUCUUGUCACACGCCCGCGGCGCGGACCGACGCCUGUCGACCUUUAUUCAUCUUCUCUCGGUUGACCUCGGAUCAGGUAGGGAUACCCGCUGAACUUAAGC